AGAGGUCCCGCCUGCCCUGUGACUCUAAAAGUUUAACGGCCGCGGUAUUUUGACCGUGCAAAGGUAGCGCAAUCACUUGUCCUUUAAAUGAGGACCCGUAUGAAUGGCACCACGAGGGCUUAACUGUCUCCUUUUUCCUGUCAAUGAAAUUGAUCUCCCCGUGCAGAAGCGGGGAUACGCCUAUAAGACGAGAAGACCCUAUGGAGCUUUAGGCUAAAAAGCAGACUAUGAGAAAUAACUUAAAAUAAAAACGAAACUAAUUAACCCCUGCUCUUAUGCCUUUGGUUGGGGCGACCGCGGGGUAAUAAAAACCCCCCACGUGGACCAGGGGUACUAAACCCCCACAACUAAGGAAUACAACCCCAAGUAACAGAACUUCUGACCAAUUUAUGAUCCGGCAUCAGACCGAUCAACGAACCCAGUUACCCUAGGGAUAACAGCGCAAUCCCCUUCUAGAGUCCAUAUCGACAAGGGGGUUUACGACCUCGAUGUUGGAUCAAGACAUCCUAUUGGUGCAGCCGCUAUUAAGGG
rnacentral:rRNA from 1 species